AUUGAACGCUGGCGGAAUGCUUUACACAUGCAAGUCGAGCGGCAGCACGGGGGCAACCCUGGUGGCGAGUGGCGAACGGGUGAGUAAUACAUCGGAACGUGCCCAGUCGUGGGGGAUAACGUAGCGAAAGCUACGCUACUACCGCAUACGAUCUCUGGAUGAAAGCGGGGGACCGCAAGGCCUCGCGCGAUUGGAGCGGCCGAUGGCAGAUUGGGUAGUUGGUGGGGUAAAGGCUCACCAAGCCGAGGAUCGGUAGCUGGUCUGAGAGGACGACCAGCCACACUGGGACUGAGACACGGCCCAGACUCCUACGGGAGGCAGCAGUGGGGAAUUUUGGACAAUGGGCGCAAGCCUGAUCCAGCCAUUCCGCGUGCAGGAUGAAGGCCCUCGGGUUGUAAACUGCUUUUGUACGGAACGAAACGGUGCUCUCUAAUACAGGGCGCUAAUGACGGUACCGUAAGAAUAAGCACCGGCUAACUACGUGCCAGCCGCCGCCGUAA
rnacentral:rRNA from 1 species